AUUGAACGCUGGCGGCAGGCUUAACACAUGCAAGUCGAGCGGGGAAAGGUAGCUUGCUACUGGACCUAGCGGCGGACGGGUGAGUAAUGCUUAGGAAUCUGCCUAUUAGUGGGGGACAACGUUCCGAAAGGAACGCUAAUACCGCAUACGUCCUACGGGAGAAAGCAGGGGAUCUUCGGACCUUGCGCUAAUAGAUGAGCCUAAGUCGGACUAGCUAGUUGGUGGGGUAAAGGCCUACCAAGGCGACGAUCUGUAGCGGGUCUGAGAGGAUGAUCCGCCACACUGGGACUGAGACACGGCCCAGACUCCUACGGGAGGCAGCAGUGGGGAAUAUUGGACAAUGGGCGCAAGCCUGAUCCAGCCAUGCCCGUGUGUGAAGAAGGCCUUUUGGUUGUAAAGCACUUUAAGCGAGGAGGAGGCUCCUUUAGUUAAUACCUAAAGUGAGUGGACGUUACUCGCAGAAUAAGCACCGGCUAACUCUGUGCCAGCCGCCGCAGUAA
rnacentral:rRNA from 1 species